AUAAAGAAAAAUUAAAGUGGUUUGCGUACUAAUGGCAUCGACAUACAACGUGCAGAACCCAUUCCCAAAGACAGCUGGUUCCCCUUAAAGGCAAUUACUUUAACCCCAGCCGCUUCCAAGGUCUGGUGUGUUAAUUUAUUGCGCGCAUACCCCACUACUACCGAUGGAGCGAUGGUGAGGUAGUUGGUGCCAUCAAAGUGGGUUUCAAUGUCAAUUUCGGUUUGGUUAGCAUCCGCUCCGGCAAUGGGAAUGAGCAUAGGUUUUUGCCCAAUAAUGGUGUGUAAGAUCGUUGAAAGAUCACCAGCUAUUUCAUUUCACUUUAAAGCCGGAUCAGUAAAGUCAAUCCGCCACGCCUUUAAAACCGCCAACAUGUUCGGGGAGUACAAGAACUUGUUGCGGUCUAACAUUG
rnacentral:sRNA from 1 species